UCCCCUGUAGUGCAUUGAAUAGCACGUUGGACUUUUAAUCCAAAGAUCGUGGGUUUGAAUCCACCUGGGAUG